rnacentral:misc_RNA from 1 species
ACGAGUUAGGGUCCCUCCGGCCCGACCUCCCAACCCUAUGUUUUUUCAACCACUGUUGCUUUGGCGAGCCCGCCCACUAGGGGCCGCCGGGGGACCAGUAUUGUUCCCUGGCCUGUGCUUGCCGAUAGCCUAAUUUUGAAAAAUUCUUUAACUAAACGUGUCUUAUCUAAGUAUUAAAAUUUAAUUAAAGUA